AGAAAGUUGCCAAGAGAGGCCAUGGAGUAAACCUCUGGAAAUGGACAAGUGAGGAGGGGACAGAGAAGGCCAAGCAGACACAGGGACUGUAAGAACUGGAGGCAGGAAUUCUGGUGUAUGUUGAAGACCAGCUGACAUCCAGCCCAAUGGACUGAACUACGUUGGAUUCUUGGGCUUUCCACUGGAAGAUAGCCAUUGUUGGACUAGCCAGACCCCAGCCUCCAGGAACACCCAGACUGAAGGCAGAAACAGGUCUCUGGGUCAGCGCAGCCCAUCUGACAGUGGCCAAGGCACAGUUACAGCGUGAGAGCAGGUGACGAGGACAAAGUUGGUCGGAUUCAGAAGACAAGACGGGGCUUCACACCCAACCCUCCAUGGGAAAAAGUUUAAGCCACAGGCAUCUUAACAGUCUAUUUACAAAAUACAGCAUCUGCCAAAAAGGCCAGCCACUGACAAACACACCCCUGUGCCACCGAGGAGCAAGGGCUGAUGUGUGGAUCUCAUUUUGUUCAACAACUGCAGAUUAAGAACGUGCCGGUAAAACCACAGCGUGGAUUAGGACAGUCUGCUGCAGAUCUCAUGUUUUCUAAUGUGACAGAUAGAAACGACAGCCAUUCUUAGGGGAGAUGGCUUUAAAUGUCACUUGAUGGCAUUAGCCUAGUUCAAAAUGUUAAAUACCCAAGAGAAAUAAGAAAUGAUUACUUUACCUAAAACGCUAUCCUUUCAGAAUUGAAUGAGCCCCAAAGGUUAUCUAUGUAUUAACCUUCAUCUCCUUUUUCAGGGCUGGAGAUCAAACCCAGGACACUGCACAUGCUUGGGAGCGCUCUACCCCAGAGCUACAUCCCCAGCUCUAACUUGCUUCUGGUUCAGGAAGUAUUAGUGCCUUCUUCCUACCACAAUAGAGACUCUAAGAUGAGAAAGGGGGCCCCUGCACACCACCUUUCAUGGGGAUCUCAGUUCUCCAUAGUGAUCUCAGGAACUUCGGUAUCCGGCAUCUUGUAAGCCUCCAGUUAAAUCAAGCACACAGAUAUCAAAGUAUAGCUCAGUUCCCUCCUGGCACAAAACUAUGAGUGAGGAAGAACACUAUGGAAUUCUGGGAGGCCAAAAUGUAAGUGAAUAUGGCAAUCUAGGAGGCACAUGCCUUCACUGAAGGUGGCUUACUUCUCUGGGGUAUUUUUCCAAAACCUUGUAAUGUCUAGCUUUGAUUUCACAGUCGGUUAACAAAGGCCCACGUUAGUCUUGGAUUAGUGUAAGAGGGAAAUGUAUGCAAUGAAAUGUUGUAAAGACAGACAAUCAGCUUCCUGGAGUUCUGCCAUCUACAUCCACAAUGCUCCCUGCACGCCUACAAAACUGCAAGCCAGGAGCCGAGUGUGGUGGUGCACACCUGCAACCCCAGCACUCAGGAGAUGGAGGCAGGAAGAUCAAGAGUUCAAAAUCAUCCUCAGAAACAGUGAGUUGAUGCCAUCCUAUGCUCCACGAGACCCUGUCUCAAACAAAACCAGAGUUUUCCACUAGUUAGGACCCUACAAAGGACCAGUGCAGAGGUGCCACCCAGUGCCUAAGAAGCAAAACUAGAUUCUCCCUGGAAGAACAGAGCUGCAAACCUCAGCUUCCAAGAAUUUCCCAAGGAAACGUUCAGAGAAAUUCGGUGAUUCUGCAGUUAAAACUCACAAGCAGGCUGGAGAGAAGGCUGAGUGGGUAAGGGUACCCGUCACCAAGCCUGACAACGUGACUUCAAUUCCCGGGACCCACACAGCACAAGGAGAGAAAAGACUGCUGCAAGUUGUCCUAUUGAGCUCCAUGUGAGUGCACACAUCCACGUGUGUUCACCAUGGCAUGUACAACCAACCCUAACAUGUACAUUUAAUUUUAAAACUCCUUACAAGCACUCUGAGAAGUCAGAGCACUAUGACCCUAAGCCAGCAGGAACAGACAAGAAAACCAGGUCUGCUAACACUGAAACACACACACACACACACACACACACACACACACACACACACACGACAGUUCAACUUAUGCAGGAGCACCUACAAUUCUUCUCUACCAGGAUGUCAGGAUGUCAGUGUCUCUCACUGCCUUGCCUGCUGUCCUCUGGGCACACAACAGUGUGGAAGUGAUCUUCUGAGGUGUUCCCAUGGAAUGUGACCAUCCACUCUCCCUGGUGGUCUCUCUGCUUCUUCUUAACAUUGUGUGUGCGUGCAUGCAUGCAUGCGUGCACAUGAGUGGACAUGUAUGCCUGUGUGUGGAGGCCACAGAUGAACUCCGAGUGUCAUUCAGAAGCUCCUCACUGUUUUCUCUUUGAAUCAGGGUCUCUCACUGGAACCUGGAGUCACUGAUCAGUGUAAGCUGUUUGUCUGGCCAGGGAGCCCCGGGGAUCCCCCCAGUUCUUCCUCUCCAGGGUUGAGAUUACAAAUGUGCCCAACACACCCAUCUUUUAUGCGGACUCGGGUCCUUACACUUGUGUGACUGAGCCACCUCCAGAGGCCCCGAGUUGCCUUUAGAACUAACUGUCUGAGAAGCUCUAAUACAUAACCCAGAAACAGUGGCCAAGUCACAGAACUAGAGCAGUUAAAUAACACGAAGACAGGAGACACAAGUGGGUAGAUAAAGCAUUAAGGUUUUCCUUCUGGCUCCAUCCUAUCAGAUUUAGCAUACAGAUGUCCUGAGGGCCUCUGGGGGACAGGCACCAUGUGCUAAUUUCACAACAGCAGCCUGCUCCUGUGGGAAAUCACCAUCCCCAGUGCACUGCCAACCACAGAACACAACAAAUGGCCUGAAGAGAAAAUAAAUGGCCUGAGCCUGUCAAGCAGAGAUGAAUAGCUCAGGAUUUGAUACAAAGAUAGGGGAGAGAUGGUACGACUGAAACAGUCUGUGGCCAGGCUCCCAGGCAAGGCCUUGAGAAAGAAAAUGGCAAGCACAGGCAAAGGGCCACGACAAGUGCUGAGUCUCCAGGACCCCAGGAGGGAGCCAGGCAACACAAGGCUCUCUCUUGCAUGCUCCAGCAGCUGGGUUGCCGUCACUCACACUCUGGAGAGGCGAGUGAAUGACAGAACUCCAAAGGCAUUCUUUUCCAGCCAGUUCACACUGCCAUGUGACCUGGGCAAAGUACUAAACGUGGAUGACUGCUGAGUGCUCAGCCUGACACGGGACAUGGACAUCACUCCCUCUGAGAGCACAGGAGGCAGGUGUACAGGAAGAGAAAGAUGGCAGGGAGUUCCGUGAGACUGUCUCCCACUACACUGACCAACUCAGAAGGCUGUGGCUACCGGCACAAGAUCCUCAUAAGAUCAAGCCGGUCAAGUCUCCAUCCUGGGGAGGGGAGGAGUUCACCUGGAGACCCAGGGAGCCACUGGCAGUUGAUGGCUGCUGAGGGAGGGAGGGCCACUUUCCUCACUUGUGCAGCCCCUGGAAAGCUCUGCCCACGCUCCUCAUCUGUGUGUGCCCAGGCAGCCUUAGUUACACUCAGCAGGAGGGAACACACUUACACAACAGCAAAACACAAAACAAAAUAGGAGGGCUUGUUGGGAAGAAGGGUUCAGUGGGAGAGGGCUGUGAACUAGCA